GUGCUCACUUCAGCAGCACAUAUACUAAAAAUGGAACGAUACAGACAAGAUUAGCAUGGUCUCUGCACAAGAAUAACAUGCAAAUUCACGAAGCAGUCCAUGUAUUU
ensembl:snRNA U6 U6 spliceosomal RNA